rnacentral:lncRNA from 1 species
AGAUGGCUGCGUGGGCACCCGGAAGGUCGCCGCGCCAAGGGCCCGCUGAGCCCCUCCUCCCAUUCGUCCAGCCGCGCGGCCCACAGAAGCGGAACGCGCGUCGAGAGCGCCCUGUCCGCUCGCCCCAGACAGAUGCCCGGUUAUUCAUUACCGCGAGGCCUAGAGGAAAGAGUGGCUGCCGUCUUCCUGCCCACAGCCCGCCGGACCCUCCGUCGCGGCUGCCCGGUCCCCGGAGCCGCAGCCGCCGAGCCCGGCUGUGCGUGUCGUGGCUGCUGGGGAGAAAGAGGCUUCCGGACAUGCUCUGGAGUCAGAAGACAGCGAAAAGAGAAGCAGAAGCCCCGGUGGCAAGAGUCUGAAGGAAGGAUGACUGUAGCCUGUGGAUUGUACUGCAGUAGGAAACUGUCCUAGCAAGGCUCCACUUUGCCCCAGCUUCAAGCUGGAAAGGAGGAGAACAUGAAACAUUGCUUGAAGACAAUGGCCGAGACAGCAGGUCCCACCCUGCACAGCCACCAGCAUCUCUCCCCUCAGCCCUGUCUCCUCUUCUGCAGUUGGGAUCUGCACAUUUAAGCCUGAAAUUGUCCUGUGAAGUGAAGUAUGAUCGGACAGCCUCUUUUCAGCUUUUAUGACAAUGGAGACAGAGGAAUUGUGGCUCUUGCCAAGGUCACAGGAUUGGAAUACAGAGCCAAGCCACCCCAGGACAUGCAAGAGCCUCAGAAGGGAAAAAAGCCCAGCAGGAAGGGAGAACAAGUAGCCUCUGUCCUGAAGUUGUAACAGCCAGGGGCCAGGAUGGAGGAGGAGGACCCCAUAAUCUGCCCAUCUGGGACUUGGCAGGGGACCUGGGAAAAUGUACCCCAACCCAUCCCUUAAGGGCCUUUGUCUUUGGCCCAUUGGCCUAGCAUCUACUUCUUCACCGUGUCUGUUCUUGUCACACCUAGUCAGGUCUGUUUGGGUCUGAGGUGCAUGGAACAUUCUGGGUAGGCCUCCAGCAAACGGAAGCUCUUCACCGUGUUUCCAGCCUGGGACCAAGGGCAGCAUACUGGCAAAGUUGCCAAAGCAAGGGACUCCAGCCUCUUAGGAGUUAAUGACUCCCUCUCCCCAGCUGUCCUCCCCUUGGUGCUCCUCUUCCUCCCUCCUCCUGCUCACAGCAGGCAGGGCCUAGACCCGGGAGCCAUGCUGCUGUGCUGUUGCCAGGGGAGCACGGAGGCAGAUCUGAGCUAUGCAGGGAAAAGGCCCAGCCUGUCAAAGUGUCUGAGAUGAACCGCCGCCGUCCCUGUGCAGCUGGGCUCAGACGUGUCUCAGCUCUUGUUCUGUGCCUGAGAAUGGCGAAACCCAGUGAGGUUCAAGGGCAAACUCGCUAUUCAUUAGUCAGGGGUUCUUGACGUCCCGUCUCUCCCAGGGAUGAGUUCCCCCCUCCUCUUUCUCCCCCUCCUAUGACACAUUCCUGGGUGCCUUUGGUGAGGACUGCACACCCUCCUCCUGCCUAGCCCCCUCUCCAAAGGCCCCUGAAUAAACUCCCCCCAAGGAGACCAGGCAGGGCAGAGACAAUGGCUGCAGGAAAUCAUUCAGGCGGGACAUGCUGGCCUGCCCUCCACCCAGUCCCCCUGUGGGCCCCACUCCCUUCUGAUUCAGGGCACCCUUGGGCCCCCAGCCUAUACAGGCCUGGACAGGAAGAAACCACUGGGAACCACCCUAAGGACAACAUGCUAGUCCAGUGCCAUUCUUCGCUGGCUCUGUGGGUGCCUUUGUGGCCUGUACCGACUGGCUGGCUAAUUUUGUGGUUUCUGUACCAUCACAUGCCUAUUUUAAGACACUCUCCAGCACUGUCGGUUAGGGAGUGUAAAUUUUGCAAUAUUUUCUGAAAUGUGGCAAUAUCAAAAUGUAAAAGGCACACAUACUUGGUCACAAACAAAUGGCACUAUUUACUCUGUGGGCAUAUUUGUAAAAGUUGCCAAAGAAUUAUAUACAAGGAUGUUCAUCAGAGCAUUUCUUUUGAAGAGUAAAGAAAUGGACAUGAACCUGUGGUCCGUUCAUACGGUGGAAUACCUAUGCAGCUGUAAAAAUCAGUGUGGUAGAUCUCCGUAUAUGAGUUGAUGUGGAAGGUUGGCCAGUUCACAUGAUAAGGUGAAUAGAAUAAGUUACAGAACAGGCUGUAGAGUAUGAUCUUAUUUGUAGAUGUUUAAAACUGAGUCAUAAGUAUGCUUAUAUACAGAUCGUUUCUGGAAGUAUGUACUGGAAGUCUACCUCUGGGGAGUGGGGAUGGGGGAGUGCACUCUUCUAUACUGUUAUAUUUUCUUUUCAUGCUCCUAAGGUACUUUUAUUGGAAGAUGUAAAGCGGUUCAAUGUAAUAGGCUUAACUUCUGUCAACUAAGUUGGCGUGGGUGCUUUAAGAGGGUGGUAGUGAUGUUGCUGGAGAAAGUAUCCCACAGUCACUGGUGGCUUCAGCCACGGGCCAUUUUGGGGCCUAAUAAUCACAUAUCAUCAUGGUUGCUAGUGUUAAUCGAAAACCUACUAAGUGCCAGGCUUACUGUCUCUGGGUCUUGCUUACGUGGAUGUCAUUUUUCCAGUUGCACCAAAUCGAAAGAGGUUAAUUGGUUUGUUGGAGUUCCUUUGUAGGUGAAGGGCAGAGCCAGGAGCUUGGCUAGGGACAGGGGAGGUGAGUGGGGGAUGGUGGAUAGGUCUUGGCUCCCAGUUUCCUUCUGGGCAGACAUUGCCCCUCUGCCCUGAGGACCUGCUUGUUUGGGGGAAGAGGCCUUUAGAGGCACCAGGGUCAUGCCAGGUGUUGGACAUGGUGAACUGGGAAGUGCUCCCAUCUGGCCACAGCGCAGAAGUAUCACCGUGCUGGGGGAUGGGGAACAGGGCUGUGAAUGGGCCUAUUUGCAUAAGCAGCAUGUGUCUGGAGAGAAAGACAUCACAGAGCAGAAGAGUGCGGGUGCCCAGGAGUGCACUUGCCACCCCUACUUCAUCCCUGAAAGAGUAAAUGGCCUGGAAGGUGUCUCUGAGAGGUAAUGCCGCACACCACCCUCCCUGGGGGCAGGGUCAGGCUACACCUGCCUUAGGUCGGGGGCUGCAGCAGCCUGAGAGCUCUCAGUAGGGCCUCAGUAGCCUGGGAGGGAGCAGGGGCAGGGGGCAGGGAAAGAGGCGUAAUGGGGCUGUCCAGAGGGGCCUGGGAAACCUGGUCCCUGAGGCCUGGGCACAGCUACAAUCACUUCAAAUUGGCUGUGGGGCCAGUGGACUGGGAAGGAAAAAAGCAAUAAGAGUGACCAAGUGCAGAAGGCUGUCAGGUCCCAGGUCACAUGCCUUAGUGCAGUGACUCCUCAUCAUUUUAUGGGGUGUGGGUGUCGUUGGUACACCCAUUUUACAGAUGAGGACACCGAGGCCCAGAAAAGUUAAGUUACAUGUCCUAAGUCACACAGCUUGUAAGUGCCAGAACUGAGAUCAAAACCAAGUCUCUUUGACUUUAAAGUCUGUACUCUGACCCCAAAGAGAUCCUGUUUGGCCACUUAUAGGAGGUCCCUAAAGCUGCAGACUCCCCUUGCCGGCACCCACAUAUAGAGACAUUAACCCUUCCCCUGCAGGGUCACCUCAAAUAGUCUUUUAGCUGGGCUUCUCCUGCAAUUCCACCUAAUGCCAUCCCCUGGGUUUUGCCCAAACCUGAACUGGGCAGUGGGGUGAGAGGAGGGGUUUACAGGGUUACAGAGCCUCAUACAGAUAGGAGCCCAUGGCUGCUGGUCAUCUGCAUUCCUGCAGGAUUGGCUGUUCCUUGGGGUCCUUGGCAGGAAAAUGAGGAUUGCUCCGAGGCCUGCUCCAGUACUUCCCAGAGGCUGGCCUGGUGUGGGGCUCUGGGAAGGCUGAGGCUGGAGAAGCGUAAGUAGGAGGGCAGAGAUGGCACUCAGGUAGCUUGAAUCACCAGGACCCUUCCAAGCCCCACAGGUUCUGAGGGAGUACUAGGGCCAGCUCUGGGAGAGGUCUCUUCCUAUGCUGUGAACCCCCUGCCUUUCUUGCAGCCUACAACGAAUAAAUUUUCUUUGCAAAGGCUU